GACGAACGCUGGCGGCGUGCCUAAUACAUGCAAGUAGAACGCUGAAGAGAGGAGCUUGCUCUUCUUGGAUGAGUUGCGAACGGGUGAGUAACGCGUAGGUAACCUGCCUGGUAGCGGGGGAUAACUAUUGGAAACGAUAGCUAAUACCGCAUAAAAUGGAUUAUCGCAUGAUAAUCCAUUGAAAGGUGCAAAUGCAUCACUACCAGAUGGACCUGCGUUGUAUUAGCUAGUUGGUGGGGUAACGGCUCACCAAGGCGACGAUACAUAGCCGACCUGAGAGGGUGAUCGGCCACACUGGGACUGAGACACGGCCCAGACUCCUACGGGAGGCAGCAGUAGGGAAUCUUCGGCAAUGGACGGAAGUCUGACCGAGCAACGCCGCGUGAGUGAAGAAGGUUUUCGGAUCGUAAAGCUCUGUUGUAAGAGAAGAACGAGUGUGAGAGUGGAAAGUUCACACUGUGACGGUAGCUUACCAGAAAGAGACGGCUAACUACGUG
rnacentral:rRNA from 1 species